UGAAAAUACAAUCAGUGCUGCCGUUAAGACGUUUAUUCUCUUCACGAAGGGCAGCUGGAAAUCCGUCUUUCAUUGUGUAUCCGGCUCGCAGCAUCAGAAGUAGAUUUGAUUUAUGUCAAUGUGUUUCUGACUGCUACAGUUAUCUCUUUUCAGUUUUCAGUUUUAUAUUUUUGUUUUCCUACAAUAUUACAUUAUUUAGGCAUUUCUUGUUCAAUUAUCGAGCGAUUUCGGCGGAUUUCUCCAAAUUUUAAAUUCACUGUGAACCGCGUAGAAACAAGUGAUUUUUUGUUGGUGCAUUCGAGUGAAACGUUUUCUUCGUGAUCAUCGGAUCUAAUCGCGCGUAUCUCCAAUUAUUAUGAUUUGUUUCUGUUUGUCAGUUGCUUUAGGAUUCGGUUCCGUUCAGAUAUCAUUUUAGAAUUUCAGUUUGAGAAGUGAACAGUCGACAAAAAAGUCAGCAAAUUUAUGUACUAGAGAACUAUCUAGGUCUAUAACUAUAAACAUACGUCUGCAGAAUUAUCCACAGAGAAAUGAAUUCAUUCAUAGUAACAACAUUCAUUUUGUAUUGCGUGAUCAUGAUCGACCCAAAUGAAGAAUCGAGAUCAUGGCAACUUACUCCAUCUCCAUCGAAAGAAAUUCGCGUUGAAGAUAUUGAUGGCCAAAAAUAUCGCGUAAUUAACAGACACGGUGAAGAAUUUCAAUCCGUAAGAAACAUAUACCCUCAAUGGAAUAUCACUGAUGAUUACAGUUGCACACGUAUUAGAUGCACCAAUGAAAAGAACUGUCGGAGCAUUAUCGAAUCUCACGGAAAAUAUUCGCAAGGGUUAUCGUAUUUCAAAACCAUUUGCUCAAUGGUGCGUUCAUCAGUGUGGGGGCUUCAAAUUGGCUUUACAAUCGACAUUUUUGAUAUUGCUAUCGAGUACCUGCGGAUCAAUCCGAAAAUAUCACGCUGGUUCGUUGUAUGAUGCUCGAUUGGUAUUGUGUAUAAGUUUACAAGUUGGUGAUAUUUCGUGCUAUAUUUUUUAGAUGAGGAAACAGGAACGGCGACAUCGCACUUCUCAAGUUACUAUGAAUUUGUAUAUUAUGUUUCUGACUUCUAUUUACUAAUAUCUUUGUUAUCGCAGUUGAAAAGUCUGGCUACUUUGUUAAGAUUAGGCCUUGUUCCUUAUGAAAUGUGUACAUUACUCACUGAUUGUUUAUUGUCGUGUGAGUAAUUAUUGUUCUUGUUCGGUUGAUGUUUUAUAACUUUAAAGUAUGCAGUACUCGUGUUUAAAAAAUAGUUUUCUGUUGGUGUUUUUCCCCGAAGGAUGUUCUCUCUGAUCAUUGGAUCUAAACUCUAAUCGACUGUAAUUUGAGAAGUUGACCGUCGACAAAAGAGGCUACAGAUUUGCACGAGAAUUAUUCAAUAAUCAAGAAAUGAGUUUAUUCGUAAUAAUAGCAUCUUGUGUGUAUCUGUCUUACUUUGACCCUUUCGAAGACUCGGUAACAUGGGCACCUCAAUCAAAAGAAAUUCGUGUUGGAGACAUUGAUUGGCCAAAAAUAUCGCGUAAUUAACCGACAAGAUGAAGAAUUUGAAACCGUGAGAAACAAGUAUUUGCCAGAAGAGAUUUGGAAUCAGUUGAUGCCUGAUGAUUGGAAUGGUACGAUGUAUAUUUCGUGUAAUGGUACUGAUGAAUGCAUCUGCAAGUGUCCUGCAAAAGAUUCGCAAUUUUAUCUCGACAUUUUUUGGCGUGUGGUUAGGAAUAGUUUCAUAGUUUUAUCUAUUGAUGCUGCCUAUGGUUUUCUGCAGACUGGUCCGAAAAUAUUACGCUGGUUGAGCCCGCGACGACGCUGGUUUGUGUAACUUUACGACUUUAGCUUUUUGUUAUGUAAUGCUUUUCCGCGAAGGAUGGUUUUUCUGAUCAUUGGAUCUAAAUAAUCUAUUCGUAUAUAAUUAUCUUUAAUUGUAGUUUAUCAAGUACGAUUUUAGUAUUGUAAUUUGAAUAAUUGACAGUCCACACAAGAGGCUACAGAUUACACGAGAAUUAUUUAGAUAAUAAUCUUUUUAAAAAAUCCGUUCACAUUGCAGUAUAAUAAACUAUGAUUGUUUUAUUCGAAAACACUGAAAAAUACCAAUAAUGGCGUGCUAAUAAAAUUUAUUUAGAUAUGUAUAUCGUAUUAUUAAAGUCUUUGUAAUAAAAUUUCCAUUACACGAAUUUAAUUUGCA